UGCUCAGGCGGGUUUGUAAGUCAGUGGUGAAAUCCCGGAGCUUAACUCCGGAACUGCCAUUGAUACUGCAAGUCUAGAGAUCGGGAGAGGUUGAUGGAAUAUCUGGUGUAGCAGUGAAAUGCGUAGAUAUCAGAUAGAACACCAAUGGCGAAGGCAGUCAACUGGCCCGAUUCUGACGCUAAAGCACGAAAGUGUGGGUAGCAAACAG
rnacentral:rRNA from 1 species